rnacentral:rRNA from 1 species
GACGAACGCUGGCGGCGUGCCUAACACAUGCAAGUCGAACGGAGUGCUUCGAAUGAUUUCUUCGGAAUGAAAAUGAAGUUACUUAGUGGCGGACGGGUGAGUAACGCGUGAGGAACCUGCCUCUCAGAGGGGGACAACAGUUGGAAACGACUGCUAAUACCGCAUAAAGCAUCAUGAUCGCAUGAUCGAGAUGCCAAAGAUUUUAUCGCUGAGAGAUGGCCUCGCGUCUGAUUAGAUAGUUGGUGGGGUAACGGCCCACCAAGUCGACGAUCAGUAGCCGGACUGAGAGGUUGAACGGCCACAUUGGGACUGAGACACGGCCCAGACUCCUACGGGAGGCAGCAGUGGGGAAUAUUGCGCAAUGGGGGNAACCCUGACGCAGCAACGCCGCGUGAAGGAAGAAGGUCUUCGGAUUGUAAACUUUGUCUUUAGGGAAGAUAAUGACGGUACCUAAGGAGGAAGCUCCGGCUAACUACGUGCCAGCAGCCGCGG